AUUGAACGCUGGCGGCAGGCCUAAUACAUGCAAGUCGAGCGAGCGGCGGACGGGUGAGUAAUGCCUGGGAAUUGCCCAGUCGGGGGGGAUAACAGUUGGAAACGACUGCUAAUCCAGCAUACGAAUGGAUUGCCCAGGUGGGAUUAGCUAGUUGGUGAGGUAAUGGCUUACCAAGGCGACGAUCCCUAGCUGUUCUGACAGGGUGAUCAGCCACACUGGAACUGAGACACGGUCCAGACUCCUACGGGAGGCAGCAGUAGGGAAUAUUCCACAAUGGGCGAAAGCCGGAUGGAGCCAUGCCGCGUGUGUGAAGAAGGCCUUCGGGUUGUAAAGCGCUUUUAGUGAGGAGGCGGUACUCGCACAAGAAGCACCGGCUAACUCCGUGCCAGCAGCCGCGGUAAUAC
rnacentral:rRNA from 1 species